rnacentral:rRNA from 1 species
AUAUUGCACAAUGGAGGAAACUCUGAUGCAGUGACACCGCGUAUAGGAAGAAGGUUUUCGGAUUGUAAACUAUUUUAGACAGGGAAGAAAAAAGACAGUACCUGUAGAAUAAGCUCCGGCUAACUACGUGCCAGCAGCCGCGGUAAUACGUAGGGAGCAAGCGUUAUCCGGAAUUAUUGGGUGUAAAGGGUGCGUAGACGGGACAGCAAGUUAGUUGUGAAAGCCCUCGGCUUAACUGAGGAACUGCAACUAAAACUAUUGUUCUUGAGUGCAGGAGAGGAAAGCGGAAUUCCUAGUGUAGCGGUGAAAUGCGUAGAUAUUAGGAGGAACACCAGUGGCGAAGGCGGCUUACUGGACAGUAACUGACGUUGAGGCUCGAAGGCGUGGGGAGCAAACAGG